rnacentral:tRNA from 1 species
GAGGCAGUAGCUCAGUGGUAGAGCUCCCGAUUUGUGCGCGGGAAGACCUGGGUUCGAUUCCCGGCUGUUUUC